AGCAGCCGCGGUAAUUCCAGCUCCAAUAGCGUAUAUUAAAGUUGUUGCAGUUAAAAAGCUCGUAGUUGAAUUUCGGGAUCAAUUCGUCGGUCGUGCUUUUUUGGUACGUACUGGGGUUAUUGGUUUCUCCCUUCUGACGAACCAUGAUGUCAUUAAUUUGGUGUUAUGGGGAGUUAGGACUGUUACUUUGAAAAAAUUAGAGUGUUUAAAGCAGGCAUUAGCUUGAAUACAUUAGCAUGGAAUAAUGAAAUAGGACGUUCGAUCCUAUUUUGUUGGUUUCUAGGAUCAACGUAAUGAUUAAUAGGGAUAGUUGGGGGCAUUAGUAUUCAAUUGUCAGAGGUGAAAUUCUUGGAUUUAUUGAAGACUAACUACUGCGAAAGCAUUUGCCAAGGAUGUUUUCAUUAAUCAAGAACGAAAGUUAGGGGAUCGAAGACGAUCAGAUACCGUCGU
rnacentral:rRNA from 1 species